AUUGAACGCUGGCGGCAGGCUUAACACAUGCAAGUCGGACGGUAACAGGUCUUUCGGGAUGCUGACGAGUGGCGGACGGGUGAGUAAUGCUUGGGAAUCUGUUUGUUAGUGGGGGAUAACUCGGGGAAACCAGGGCUAAUACCGCAUACGUCUUUAGGGGGAAAGCAGGGGAUCGUAAGACCUUGCGCUAAUGAGUGAGCCCAAGUCGGAUUAGUUUGUUGGUGAGGUAAAGGCUCACCAAGACUGCGAUCCGUAGCUGGUCUGAGAGGAUGAUCAGCCACACUGGGACUGAGACACGGCCCAGACUCCUACGGGAGGCAGCAGUGGGGAAUAUUGGACAAUGGGCGCAAGCCUGAUCCAGCCAUGCCGCGUGUGUGAAGAAGGUCUUAUGAUUGUAAAGCACUUUAAGUCAGGAGGAAGGUGCGAGGGCUAAUAUCUCUUGUGAUUGACGUUACU
rnacentral:rRNA from 1 species